UACUGGAGGUGCAAGCGUUGUUCGGAAUGACUGGGCGUAAAGCGCGCGUAGGCGGGUUUAUAAGUCAGUUGUGAAAGCCCAGGGCUCAACCCUGGAAUUGCAAUUGAAACUGUAAAUCUUGAAUACCUGAGAGGGUGGCGGAAUUCCGGGUGUAGAAGUGAAAUUCGUAGAUAUCCGGAGGAACACCAGAGGCGAAGGCG
rnacentral:rRNA from 1 species